rnacentral:lncRNA from 1 species
CAUUACUUGAGAAAGAGACCACUAGAUUUUUCUUUUUCUCUAAGAAUGAUGAACGACUUCAAGGUUCUGACUUAUUCUGGAGAGGAGUAGGAAGUAAUAUGAGCAGGAACUCUUGGGAGGCCAGAACAACCAACCUGCGUAUGGAUUGUCGAAAGAAACAUAAAGACGCAAAAAGGAAAAUGAAACCAAAAUAAUAAAUGUCAGCUGGUUUUGAUACUGAAUGUGAACAAGGCUCACCUAAGGAAACUGACCCAGAAAACAGUUUUAGCUGACAAAGAAGAAAUUUCAGAGUGAAGGAAUUUUAAAAAUCUGGCUGACGGAAUAUCAUUCUGGUUGCCAUCUUUUUCUGUGGAACUCCUCUGCAUUUCUUCCUAAGUAAUUACUUCAAAAAUUAAAUUCAACUUCUUAUAAAGGAAGAACAAGAUAGUCCUUGAAAAUACUUUUUGUAUAUAAUCUCUUUGCCCUCUAUCCUGAGUAACUAAUGGACAUCUUCUCAUGCAAGGUUUAUAUGAAGCCUUUUUAAAUAAAUGAGUCAAAGCACUUGUA